GAUGAACGCUGGCGGCGUGCCUAACACAUGCAAGUCGAACGAAACCUCUUUAUCACCGUGCGCUUGCACUCACCGAUAAAGAGUUGAGUGGCGAACGGGUGAGUAACUCGUGGGCAACCUGUCCUAAAGAGGGGGAAAAUACUCGGAAACAGGUGCUAACACCGCAUAACCAUCGUUACAGCAUCGUAACUAUGUAAAAGGUGGCUACCGUACCCGUCUUGGAUGGGUCCGCGGCGCAUUAGCUAGUUGGUAGGGUAAAGGCUUACCAAGGCAAUGAUGCGUAGCCGAAUUGAGAGGUUGAUCGGCCACAUUGGGACUGAGACACGGCCCAAACUCCUACGGGAGGCAGCAGUAGGGAAUCUUCCACAAUGGGCGAAAGCCUGAUGGAGCAACACCGCGUGGGUGAAGAAGGUCUUCGGAUCGUAAAGCCCUGUUGUUAGAAAAGAAAGUGCGUGGGUGUAACUGUUCACGUUUUGACGGUAUCUAAACAAAAAGCCACGGCUAACUACGUG
rnacentral:rRNA from 1 species